rnacentral:rRNA from 1 species
GAAGAAAGCUGGCGGCGUGCCUAAUACAUGCAAGUUGAGCGCUGAAGGUUGGUACUUGUACCAACUGGAUGAGCAGCGAACGGGUGAGUAACGCGUGGGGAAUCUGCCUUUGAGCGGGGGACAACAUUUGGAAACGAAUGCUAAUACCGCAUAAAAACUUUAAACACAAGUUUUAAGUUUGAAAGAUGCAAUUGCAUCACUCAAAGAUGAUCCCGCGUUGUAUUAGCUAGUUGGUGAGGUAAAGGCUCACCAAGGCGAUGAUACAUAGCCGACCUGAGAGGGUGAUCGGCCACAUUGGGACUGAGACACGGCCCAAACUCCUACGGGAGGCAGCAGUAGGGAAUCUUCGGCAAUGGACGAAAGUCUGACCGAGCAACGCCGCGUGAGUGAAGAAGGUUUUCGGAUCGUAAAACUCUGUUGGUAGAGAAGAACGUUGGUGAGAGUGGAAAGCUCAUCAAGUGACGGUAACUACCCAGAAAGGGACGGCUAACUACGUG